UACGGGAGGCAGCAGUAGGGGAAUAUUGGGCAAUGGAGGCAACUCUGACCCAGCCAUGCCGCGUGCAGGAUGAAGGCGCUCAGCGUUGUAAACUGCUUUUAGCUGGGAAGAAAAGCAGUCCUGGGGGAUUGUGUGACGGUACCAGCGGAAUAAGCACCGGCUAACUCCGUGCCAGCAGCCGCGGUAAUACGGAGGGUGCGAGCGUUGUCCGGAUUUAUUGGGUUUAAAGGGUGCGUAGGUGGUUUUUCUAAGUCUGGUUUUGAAAGCAGGCGGCUUAACCGUCUGAUGUGGCUGGAAACUGGGGAACUUGAAUGGUUAGCGGCUGCCGGAACGGGUCAUGUAGCGGUGAAAUGCAUAGAUAUGACCCAGAACACCGAUUGCGAAGGCAGGCAGCCAGGGACCUGAUUGACACUGAGGGCACGAGAGCAUGGGGAGCCCAACAGGGAUUAGGAAUAC
rnacentral:rRNA from 1 species